UACGUAGGGUGCGAGCGUUGUCCGGAAUUAUUGGGCGUAAAGGGUGCGUAGGUGGGUUGGUAAGUCAGUGGUGAAAUACUUUCGCUUAACGAAGGAACUGCCAUUGAUACUACCAGUCUUGAAUACAGUGGAGGUAGGCGGAAUGCGUCAUGUAGCGGUGAAAUGCUUAGAUAUGACGCAGAACACCAAUUGCGAAGGCAGCUUGCUACACUGUUAUUGACACUGAGGCACGAAAGCGUGGGGAUCAAACAGG
rnacentral:rRNA from 1 species